UUUCAGUACCCCAUCUCGCGACGCGCUAUCGACGCGUCACUUUCGGGGUGGCCCUUGAUCUGUAUGUUACCGUAGUGAAAGCGCUCCACGAAUUGUUCCUAUUGGU